CGGGAUGUGGCUCAGUCCGGUUAGAGUACCCGCUUAGGGUGCGGGAGGUCGCUGGUUCGAAUCCAGUCAUCCCGA
rnacentral:tRNA from 1 species